rnacentral:sRNA from 1 species
GGUUAUAGCUUUUUUUCUUCUUCUUGUUCUUCACUUCAUCUUCCAUUUACUU